UGGCACAAUGGUUAAGCACUUAGCUGCUAACUAAAAGGUCAGUGGUUCAAACCCACU
rnacentral:tRNA from 1 species